AACAAACAUAUUGUUAUCAUCAAAAUUUACUCCCUCUUGUUUCUCCUCACUUUGCCUCUUUCACAACCAACCCCAACCACCAUUCAUUUUAUUGAUUAUUCUCAUUGUCUCUCUCUCCCCGUCAACCGACCGGGCACCGCUUUCCUCCACGUCCUCCACCAUCUCCUCUGCCACAUUGUGGUUUCUCCAACCUCCCAUGACCACCGUCGUCGCACCGAUUUGUUUACACAGAGCAAACUCCGGCGCCAUAUCUUUACGAUCACACUCCGACGGGGUGGCAGCACCACCUGAGUUGGGCGGCACUUGAAAAAUAGCUCCAUGAGAAUAGUUGGGUUGCUUCAAAUCUUGAUCAUUGCUGAGUUGAGAAGCAACAAAUUUUUCCAUUACUCUCCAAUCGGUCACGUGAUCCACGGUGUGCUCGACGCCGUAAAGCGGAGUGACGCCAGUGUCUCGGUCGUAGGCGUAAGGGAGCAGAGAGUUGGUGGUGGAAGAUGUGGGGAUUUUUGGACUUUCGAGGUGAGGGAGUUGGAGGAAAACCUGGUCGUGCGGUGGGGCGUGGAAAUGCAACUCGAGCUCUUGCUUGCAAGGAUAAGCUGGGUGGUGAAAGAUUUGGGUGGUUGGAGAAUCAAGCUCUGGCAUGAAGGAGACUUGGUCGUCGUACCAGCAGGGCGAGCCAUAGUCACCGGCUUUUCUCACCGUCGGCAUCCUCUUCUUGAAAACCCUGCAAACAACCCAUCCUUCCUCCUAGUAUAUACAAAGACAAUUUUGUUGAAGCUAUGUUAGAAUAAUAACAUUUUUCUGACCUAAUAAUAAUAAUGCAUGAUUUCUGAUGUU